AGCAGUGGGGGAGAGCUCAGCCAGCCCUGCAGGGCGAGCAGUCCAGCCUUGGGUUCACCGGAGCUUAAGCGUUGCAGCAGGAAAACUUCCAUCUCGCUCUCCUGGCUUUGAUCCUCACUGGACAUCAGACCAGAGGCACCGAAGGGAGGGAGGAUGCGAGAUGACCGGCCUUUUGGCAACCUGACCAUCGACUUUGCAGAGCCUUCAAAAGCAAGCCAGGGGCUGGCUGCACGACCAAAGAGGCGCCGCGCCUCUCGUGGAUGUGUGUGUGUGAGUGAUCCAGCGAGUGUGUGUGCGUGUGAGGGUGUGUGUGUGUAUGCCUGUGUGCACAGCACAACUAUGUGCGUGUCCCGGUGAGUGUGCCUGUGCAUGCAUGAGUGUGUGUAUGUGUGCAUGUGUGUGUGAGUGCUCUUGGUUAUUACUAUUAUUAUUAUUUUUGGAAGAACAAUCUUUGAAAAUCUGGGGCAGGUUACUGUGCUCCUAGGGUGAUUCUUCUUUUGCAAGAGGAGCUGACCAGAGCAAGCUACUAGAGCCAUUUCUCGGCAAGUAAAGAGAUUUUUCCUCCCAGAAGGAGAAGGAUUUUUCUCCCUGCUCUGCAGCCAAGUGAAAGAGAUUAGUCCCUAAACCUGUGAAAUCGACCAGAGCUGUGUGAUUACCAGGGCUUGAGAGAGGACUCGAAAAGAAAAGGAGAAAUAAAUCAAGCAGCCUGUCAGUUCCUUUGGCCACGUCGGAAGAUGUCAUCUCAAACUAAGUUCAAGAAAGACAAAGAGAUCAUUGCUGAAUAUGAAGCCCAAAUAAAAGGGAGAGCUGGAGAAAUUCUUAUAGAAGAAGGAUCUUUUGAGCAGGAUUUUGAAGAAUGAAUAGAAGCUCUCCAGGUGGUGAAAAGCAUUACCUGAAGAGAAGACAGCAUGUGCAAAGGUAUGGGGGUCACAAAAGCGUCAGGGUACUUGAGAAAUGGUGAGGAGUUUGAGGUGGCUAAAAUCCUGAGUAGGUAGAACGAAAUGGUGGUGGGAGAUGAGGCUGGAAAGGAGAAGAGCUUGAAGUUCCUGUCUGAUCGUCAGAUCCUGUAAGUCUUUGACCUUGAAGAUGGUAUGGAUGAGAGUCUUAUUUAUUUGUUGUGGUAAAAUACACAAACACAAAGUUUACCAUCUUACCCAUUUUUAAUUGUGCAGCUCAGUGGUAUUAAAUGCAUUCACAUUAAAUGCCACCCAUCUUCAUAACUUCUUUCAUCUUGUGAAAUGCAGCUCUGUACCCAUUAAACAAUAGCUCCUCGGCUGGGCGCGGUGGCUCACACUUGUAAUCCCAGCACUUUGGGAGGCUGAGGUGGGCGGAUCACGGGGUCAGGAGAUCGAGACCAUCCUGGCUAACACGGUGAAACCCCGUCUCUACUAAAAAUACAAAAAAAUUAGCCUGGCACAGUGGCGGGCGCCUGUAGUCCCAGCUAGUCGGGAGGCUGAGGCAGGAGAAUGGCGUGAACCCGGCAGGCGGAGCUUGCAGUGAGCCGAGAUCACGCCACUGUACUCCAGCCUGGGCGACAGAGCAAGACUCUGUCUC
rnacentral:sRNA from 1 species